rnacentral:lncRNA from 1 species
GUUUAUUGGAGGUGUGGUUAAAGCACUCAUGGUCUUUGUUCCUUUCCCAGUCUGAGGGCAGCAAAGGAAGUACCACUGCAGUUACAGUGGCAGAGGAGUUUUCAGUUGCCUCUUGGAGCUUCACCUCAAAGAAAUACAAGGAUCCUGCUAACCGGAAUGUUCAGCUGGGUGUGGCUGAAUAUUCAUCCAGGGACCCUGCUUGGUGAAAAGCUGGGGGUCAAGGCUCACAGGAAGGGGUGACUAUACUCCUAUCUGUAUGGUGACUGUGGCAAGCUGGAAAUAUAGAGAAAUGGAAACUCCAAAAGAUUAAGCAAGAAGCCCAUAGGAACACAAUUAGUAGAGCACUGAAUAAUAUUUCACUGUCCUGAUGUACCAAGUUUAUCCAUUCACCUACUGAAGGACAUCUUGGUUGUUCUAUGUUUUGUUUUCUUCUAUUAAAACAAGGAUACGGUGGAGCCAAGAUGGCCGAAUAGGAGCAGCUCCGGUCUACAGCUCCCAGCAUGAGCGACACAGAAGAUGGGUGAUUUCUGCAUUUCCAUCUGAGGUACCGGGUUCAUCUCACUAGGGAAUGCCAGACAGUGGGUGCAGGACAGUGGGUGCAGUGCACCGUGCGUGAGCUGAAGCAGGGCAAGGCAUUGCCUCAUUCGGGAAGCACAAGGGGUCAGGGAG